AGAGUUUGAUCCUGGCUCAGAACGAACGCUGGCGGCGUGGCUAAGACAUGCAAGUCGAACGGACUAUUCAAUUGAGUAAUCGAGAGAAUAGUUAGUGGCGAAAGGGUGAGUAAUGGAUAGGUAAUGUACCCUGGGCUUCGGAAUAGCGUCGUUCGCCUUCGGGCGAACUACCGAAAGGGGCGGUAAUACCGAAUAAUAUCAAAGGUCGAUGGGCUUUUGAUCAAAGAUUUUAUCGGCGCGGGAGCGGCCUAUCUCCUAUCAGCUUGUUGGUGGGGUAAUAGCUCACCAAGGCUGCGACGGGUAGCGGGACUGAGAGGUUGGCCCGCCACAUCGGGACUGACACACUGCCCGGACCUCCACGGAGGGCUGCAGUAACGAAUAUUGCGCAAUGGGCGAAAGCCUGACGCAGCGACGCCGCGUGCGGGAGGAAGUCUUUCGGGAUGUAAACCGCUGUCAGGGCUGUGAAAGUCCACUCCGGUGGAUUGAUCUGGCCCAAAGGAAGUCACGGCUAACUUCGUGCCAGCAGCCGCGGUAAGACGAAGGUGGCGAGCGUUGUUCGGUGUCACUGGGCUUAAAGCGUGUGCAGGCGGAAAAGUAAGCGUCCUGUGAAAGCCCUCGGCUUAACCGAGGAACUGCUUGACGUACUGCUUUUCUUGAGGCAAGUAGGGGUGCGCGGAACUCUUGGUGGAGCGGUGGAAUGCGUAGAUAUCAAGAGGAACGCCGGUGGUGAAGACGGUGCACUGGGCUUGUCCUGACGCUGAGACACGAAAGCGUGGGGAGCGAACGGGAUUAGAUACCCCGGUAGUCCACGCUGUAAACGAUGUCUACUAGUUGUGGGGGUUCUGACGCCGUCACGGCCGAAGCAAAAGUGGUAAGUAGACCGCCUGGGGAGUACGGCCGCAAGGCUAAAACUCAAAGGAAUUGACGGGGGCUCACACAAGCGGUGGAGCAUGUGAUUAUUCGGAGCACCCCGCAGACCUUACCUGGGUUUGACAUGCUUGUAUGCUGCUGGGAAACCGGGUUAGCUGCCCUCGGGGUGAACUUGCAAGUGCUGCAUGCUGUCGUCAGCUCGUGUUGUGAAUGUUCGAUAGUUCCUACGACGAAAUCUGCGUAGUGCAGCGGUCAAGCCGGAACUUACGACUGCGGUUAACGGAGAAAGUGUGGAUGACGUCAAGUCA
rnacentral:rRNA from 1 species